AACGAACGCUGGCGGCAGGCUUAACACAUGCAAGUCGAGCGCCCCGCGAGGGGAGCGGCAGACGGGUGAGUAACGCGUGGGAAUCUACCCAUCUCUACGGAAUAACGCAUGGAAACGUGUGCUAAUACCGUAUACGUCCUUCGGGAGAAAGAUUUAUCGGAGAUGGAUGAGCCCGCGUUGGAUUAGCUAGUUGGUGGGGUAAAGGCCUACCAAGGCGACGAUCCAUAGCUGGUCUGAGAGGAUGAUCAGCCACACUGGGACUGAGACACGGCCCAGACUCCUACGGGAGGCGGCAGUGGGGAAUAUUGGACAAUGGGCGCAAGCCUGAUCCAGCCAUGCCGCGUGAGUGAUGAAGGCCCUAGGGUUGUAAAGCUCUUUCACCGGUGAAGAUAAUGACGGUAACCGGAGAAGAAGCCCCGGCUAACUUCGUGCCAGCCGCCGCAGUAACAC
rnacentral:rRNA from 1 species